AGGACGAACGCUGGCGGCGUGCUUAACACAUGCAAGUCGAACGGAAAGGCCCUGCUUUUGUGGGGUGCUCGAGUGGCGAACGGGUGAGUAACACGUGAGUAACCUGCCCUUGACUUUGGGAUAACUUCAGGAAACUGGGGCUAAUACCGGAUAGGAGCUCCUGCUGCAUGGUGGGGGUUGGAAAGUUUCGGCGGUUGGGGAUGGACUCGCGGCUUAUCAGCUUGUUGGUGGGGUAGUGGCUUACCAAGGCUUUGACGGGUAGCCGGCCUGAGAGGGUGACCGGCCACAUUGGGACUGAGAUACGGCCCAGACUCCUACGGGAGGCAGCAGUGGGGAAUAUUGCACAAUGGGCGGAAGCCUGAUGCAGCAACGCCGCGUGCGGGAUGACGGCCUUCGGGUUGUAAACCGCUUUCGCCUGUGACGAAGCGAGAGUGACGGUAAUGGGUAAAGAAGCACCGGCUAACUACGUGCCAGCAGCCGCGGUGAUACGUAGGGUGCGAGCGUUGUCCGGAUUUAUUGGGCGUAAAGGGCUCGUAGGUGGUUGAUCGCGUCGGAAGUGUAAUCUUGGGGCUUAACCCUGAGCGUGCUUUCGAUACGGGUUGACUUGAGGAAGGUAGGGGAGAAUGGAAUUCCUGGUGGAGCGGUGGAAUGCGCAGAUAUCAGGAGGAACACCAGUGGCGAAGGCGGUUCUCUGGGCCUUUCCUGACGCUGAGGAGCGAAAGCGUGGGGAGCGAACAGGCUUAGAUACCCUGGUAGUCCACGCUGUAAACGGGGGGUACUAGGUGUGGGGGUCCAUUCCACGGGUUCCGUGCCGUAGCUAACGCUUUAAGUACCCCGCCUGGGGAGUACGGCCGCAAGGCUAAAACUCAAAGGAAUUGACGAGGCCCCGCACAAGCGGCGGAGCAUGCGGAUUAAUUCGAUGCAACGCGUAGAACCUUACCUGGGUUUGACAUGGAUCGGGAGUGCUCAGAGAUGGGUGUGCCUCUUUUGGGGUCGGUUCACAGGUGGUGCAUGGCUGUCGUCAGCUCGUGUCGUGAGAUGUUGGGUUAAGUCCCGCAACGAGCGCAACCCUUGUUCACUGUUGCCAGCACGUUAUGGUGGGGACUCAGUGGAGACCGCCGGGGUCAACUCGGAGGAAGGUGGGGAUGACGUCAAGUCAUCAUGCCCCUUAUGUUCAGGGCUUCACGCAUGCUACAAUGGCUGGUACAGAGAGUGGCGAGCCUGUGAGGGUGAGCGAAUCUCGGAAAGCCGGUCUCAGUUCGGAUUGGGGUCUGCAACUCGACCUCAUGAAGUCGGAGUCGCUAGUAAUCGCAGAUCAGCAACGCUGCGGUGAAUACGUUCCCGGGGCUUGUACACACCGCCCGUCAAGUCAUGAAAGUUGGUAACACCCGAAGCCGGUGGAGUAACCGUUGUGGGGGAGCCGUCGAAGGU
rnacentral:rRNA from 1 species